rnacentral:rRNA from 1 species
GGGAACAUACCCUUUUCUACGGAAUAGCUCUGGGAAACUGGAAUUAAUACCGUAUACGCCCUACGGGGGAAAGAUUUAUCGGGGAAGGAUUGGCCCGCGUUGGAUUAGCUAGUUGGUGGGGUAAAGGCCUACCAAGGCGACGAUCCAUAGCUGGUCUGAGAGGAUGAUCAGCCACAUUGGGACUGAGACACGGCCCAAACUCCUACGGGAGGCAGCAGUGGGGAAUAUUGGACAAUGGGCGCAAGCCUGAUCCAGCCAUGCCGCGUGAGUGAUGAAGGCCUUAGGGUUGUAAAGCUCUUUCACCGAUGAAGAUAAUGACGGUAGUCGGAGAAGAAGCCCCGGCUAACUUCGUGCCAGCAGCCGCGGUAAUACGAAGGGGGCUAGCGUUGUUCGGAAUUACUGGGCGUAAAGCGCACGUAGGCGGAUAUUUAAGUCAGGGGUGAAAUCCCAGAGCUCAACUCUGGAACUGCCUUUGAUACUGGGUAUCUUGAGUAUGGAAGAGGUAAGUGGAAUUGCGGGU